AAAACUUAAAAGGAUAAAGAAGAAAGGCACUAUCACCAGGAGCCUCCACCUCCCUUUGUCUAAUUUCAUUUCAACUACCAAUACCAUUACCAUCCACCAUUUUUAAAUAGUCUUAUAUCCAACCAUUGGCAAAAAGAAUUAUCUAAUAUUGAUGAUUCAACAACUAAUAUUGAACUAUUUUGAUAUAUUUACUCGGCUUGAUGCGUAAUAAUUUUUUGCAGUUUGUUUCAUGGUAUUGUCA